AUGUGGCACUUUUCGGAUUCCAAGAUUCAAACAAGUCUAUCUUUGACCGUAAAUUUUUCAUAGAUCUUUUAAACAUUUUGAACUAUCAAUUAUUGUAACUUAUAGUGCUUUUUACGUAGUUUACAAAUAUAUAAAUUUCAUUUAAAAAAAUUGAAGAUUUCAUGCGCAAAUUUCUGGUCAAACUUAAAUUGUUUGACUCUCGAAAAACGAAAAGUGUCACAUAA
rnacentral:pre_miRNA from 1 species